rnacentral:rRNA from 1 species
UACAGAGGUGGCAAGCGUUGCUCGGAAUUACUGGGCGUAAAGGGCGCGUAGGCGGCCGCCUAAGUCAGACGUGAAAUCCCCAGGCUUAACUUGGGAACUGCGUCUGAUACUGGGUGGCUUGAGUUCGGGAGAGGAAUGUGGAAUUCCAGGUGUAGCGGUGAAAUGCGUAGAUAUCUGGAGGAACACCGGUGGCGAAGGCGGCAUUCUGGACCGAAACUGACGCUGAGGCGCGAAAGCCAGGGGAGCAAACGGG